rnacentral:hammerhead_ribozyme from 1 species
AUUCAGACGACGAGUCUUAAAUAGGACGAAAUGUACAUCUUGGAU